UCCGCUAGUAGUGGCGAGCGAACGCGGAAGAGGCCAAACCGGAGGUAGCAAUAUUUCCGGGGUUAGGACUGCAAUAUGUAACUUUAAUCUUUAACUGAAUGCUUUGGGAAGAGCAGCAAUAUAGGGUGAUAGCCCCGUAAGUGAAAAGGAUUGAGUGCUAGCAGUAUCCAGAGUACCAGCGGACACGUGAAACCCGCUGGGAAGAUGGGGGGACCAUCCUCCAAGCCUAAAUACUACUCAGUGACCGAUAGUGGAGCAGUACCGUGAGGGAAAGGUGAAAAGUACCCCGGGAGGGGAGUGAAAAAGAACCUGAAACCUUGUGCCUACAAGCACCGAGAGCACGUUAAAGUGUGAUCGGGUACUUUUUGUAGAACGGUCCGGCGAGUUAAUAUUUGCAGCGAGGUUAAGGAACUGGAGUUCCGGAGCCGCAGCGAGAGCGAGUCUGAAAAGGGCGUAUGAAGUUGCAGGUAUUAGACCCGAAACCGGGUGACCUAUCCAUGAGCAGGCUGAAGCGGUGGUAAGACACCGUGGAGGGCCGCACCCACGUCUGUUGAAAAAGCCGGGGAUGACUUGUGGAUAGCGGAGAAAUUCCAAUCGAACUCGGAGAUAGCUGGUUCUCCCCGAAAUAGCUUUAGGGCUAGCGUUAUUUUAGAUUACCGGAGGUAAAGCACUGAAUGGUCUAGGGGCCGCGAGGUUACCAAAGCCUAUCAAACUCUGAAUGCCGGAUAAUUGAUGAAUAGCAGUCAGACUGUGUGAGAUAAGUCUCAUAGUCAAAAGGGAAACAGCCCAGAUCUACAGCUAAGGUCCCAAAUGAACACUAAGUGGAAAAUGAUGUGAAACUGCGAAGACAACCAGGAUGUUGGCUUAGAAGCAGCCACUCAUUCAAAGAGUGCGUAAUAGCUCACUGGUCGAGUGGUUUUGCGCAGAAAAUGUAACGGGGCUAAGUGUUCAACCGAAGCUUAGGCAUUGCAGUAAUGCAUUGGGUAGGGGAGCGUCGUAUGCGGGGCGAAGUCAGAGCGGAAGCACUGGUGGACUGCAUACGAGUGAGAAUGCCGGAAUAAGUAGCGAGAAUUAUGUGAGAAUCAUAAUGGCCGAAAAUCUAAGGUUUCUUGGGGAAGGUUCGUCCGCCCAAGGUUAGUCGGGAGCUAAGCUCAGGCCGAAAGGCGUAGGCGAUGCACAUACGGUAGAAAUUCCGUAACCACCGAACAUUUAAGCUAGAGGGACGCUUUCUUUAAGUCUAUCCCGGGCGAUGGUUGCCCCGGGCGUAAGGGACCGAAAUUUAGUAGGGAAGUAGAUGGCGAGAGAGACGAGAAAAGCUCUAGUGUAUACUAAGGUGCCCGUACCGCAAACCGACACAGGUAGAUGGGAUGAGUAUUCUAAGGCCAACGGGAGAAGGGUUGUUAAGGAACUCGGCAAAUUGGCCCCGUAACUUCGGGAUAAGGGGCGCCUGCGAGAGCAGGCCGCAGUGAAAAGGCCCAAGCGACUGUUUAGCAAAAACACAGCUCUCUGCUAAAUCGAAAGAUGACGUAUAGGGGGUGACGCCUGCCCGGUGCUGGAAGGUUAAGGGGAGUGCUUAGCGCAAGCGAAGGUGCGAACUUAAGCCCCAGUAAACGGCGGCCGUAACUAUAACGGUCCUAAGGUAGCGAAAUUCCUUGUCAGGUAAGUUCUGACCCGCACGAAUGGCGUAACGAUUUGGGCACUGUCUCAACAGCCCGCCCGGCGAAAUUGUAGUACCGGUGAAGAUGCCGGUUUCCCGCAACUAGACGGAAAGACCCCAUGGAGCUUCACUGUAGCUUGAUAUUGGAUCUCGGUAUUCCAUGUACAGGAUAGGUGGGAGACUUGGAAGUAAGCGCGCCAGCGUUUAUGGAGUCAACCUUGGGAUACCACUCUUGGGAUAUUGGGAUUCUAACCUGCGACCAUGAAUCUGGUCGGGGGACACUGUCAGGUGGGCAGUUUGACUGGGGCGGUCGCCUCCAAAAGAGUAACGGAGGCGCUCAAAGGUUCGUUCAGCACGGAUGGAAAUCGUGCACUGAGUGUAAACGCAUAAACGAGCCUAACUGCGAGAAUGACGGUUCGAGCAGUAACGAAAGUUGGAGUUAGUGAUCCGGCGGUAUGUGAAUGGAAAUGC
rnacentral:rRNA from 1 species